rnacentral:rRNA from 1 species
AACAUCUAAGUACCCCGAGGAAAAGAAAUCAACCGAGAUUCCCCCAGUAGCGGCGAGCGAACGGGGAGCAGCCCAGAGCCUGAAUCAGUGUGUGUGUUAGUGGAAGCGUCUGGAAAGGCGCGCGAUACAGGGUGACAGCCCCGUACACAAAAAUGCACAUACUGUGAGCUCGAUGAGUAGGGCGGGACACGUGGUAUCCUGUCUGAAUAUGGGGGGACCAUCCUCCAAGGCUAAAUACUCCUGACUGACCGAUAGUGAACCAGUACCGUGAGGGAAAGGCGAAAAGAACCCCGGCGAGGGGAGUGAAAAAGAACCUGAAACCGUGUACGUACAAGCAGUGGGAGCACAGAGCAAUCUGUGUGACUGCGUACCUUUUGUAUAAUGGGUCAGCGACUUAUAUUCUGUAGCAAGGUUAACCGAAUAGGGGAGCCGAAGGGAAACCGAGUCUUAACUGGGCGUUAAGUUGCAGGGUAUAGACCCGAAACCCGGUGAUCUAGCCAUGGGCAGGUUGAAGGUUGGGUAACACUAACUGGAGGACCGAACCGACUAAUGUUGAAAAAUUAGCGGAUGACUUGUGGCUGGGGGUGAAAGGCCAAUCAAACCGGGAGAUAGCUGGUUCUCCCCGAAAGCUAUUUAGGUAGCGCCUCGUGAAUUCAUCUCCGGGGGUAGAGCACUGUUUCGGCAAGGGGGUCAUCCCGACUUACCAACCCGAUGCAAACUGCGAAUACCGGAGAAUGUUAUCACGGG